rnacentral:rRNA from 1 species
GAGUUUGAUCCUGGCUCAGAUUGAACGCUGGCGGCAUGCCUUACACAUGCAAGUCGAACGGCAGCACGGGAGCUUGCUCCUGGUGGCGAGUGGCGAACGGGUGAGUAAUGCAUCGGAACGUAUCCUGGAGUGGGGGAUAACGUAGCGAAAGUUACGCUAAUACCGCAUAUUCUGUGAGCAGGAAAGCGGGGGACCUUCGGGCCUCGCGCUCUUGGAGCGGCCGAUGUCGGAUUAGCUAGUUGGUGAGGUAAAGGCUCACCAAGGCGACGAUCCGUAGCAGGUCUGAGAGGAUGAUCUGCCACACUGGAACUGAGACACGGUCCAGACUCCUACGGGAGGCAGCAGUGGGGAAUUUUAGACAAUGGGGGCAACCCUGAUCCAGCCAUGCCGCGUGAGUGAAGAAGGCCUCGGUUGUAAGUACGUACGUUCGUCGUACGG